UACGGGGGGGGCAAGCGUUGUUCGGAAUUACUGGGCGUAAAGGGCGCGUAGGCGGCUCGCUAAGUUGGAUGUGAAAACUCUGGGCUUAACCCAGAGCCUGCAUCCAAAGCUGGCAAGCUUGAGUACUGGAGGGGAAAGCGGAAUUCCUGGUGUAGCGGUGAAAUGCGUAGAUAUCAGGAGGAACACCGGUGGCGAAGGCGGCUUUCUGGACAGUAACUGACGCUGAGGCGCGAAAGCUAGGGGAGCAAACAGG
rnacentral:rRNA from 1 species